UCAGAGUGAACGCUGGCGGCACGGCUCAGACAUGCAAGUUGAGCGAUGAAACUCCUUCGGGAGUGGAUUAGCGGCAAACGGGUGCGUAACACGUGAGCAACUUGCCCUUAAGUCGGGGAUAGCCCAUAGAAAUGUGGAUUAAUACCGGAUGUGGUCCUCCUUCGCAUGAAGGAGGCACUAAACCUUGUAACGGGGCUUAAGGAGGGGCUUGCGGCCUAUCAGCUUGUUGGUGAGGUAACGGCUCACCAAGGCUAAGACGGGAAGCGGAAUUGAGAGAUUGAUCCGCCGGACUGGGACUGAGACACGGCCCAGACACCUACGGGUGGCAGCAGUCUCGAAUCAUCCACAAUGGGCGAAAAGCCUGAUGGUGCAAUGCCGCGUGGGGGAUGAAGGCCUUCGGGUCGUAAACCCCUGUCACCAAGGAACAAAAAGCUGUGAUGAGCAGCCUUGAGCUAACUUGGAGAGGAAGAGGUGGCUAACUCCGUGCCAGCAGCCGCGGUAAUACGGAGACCUCGAGCGUUACUCGGAUUCACUGGGCGUAAAGGGUGCGAAGGCGGACAGGUAUGUCAGGUGUGAAAUCUCGGGGCUUAACUCCGAAACUGCGCCUGAAACUACUUGUCUAGAGACUCGGAGGGGUAAGCGGAAUUCCAGGUGUAGCGGUGAAAUGCGUAGAUAUCUGGAGGAACACCAAAGGCGAAGGCAGCUUACUGGACGAGAUCUGACGCUAAAGUACGAAAGCGUGGGUAGCGAAAGGGAUUAGAUACCCCUGUAGUCCACGCCGUAAACGUUGUACACUAGGUUUUGGAGGAUUCGACCCCUUCAGAGCUCAAGCUAACGUAAUAAGUGUACCGCCUGAGGACUACGGCCGCAAGGCUAAAACUCAAAGGAAUUGACGGGGGCCCGCACAAGCGGUGGAGCAUGUGGCUUAAUUCGAUGCAACGCGAAGAACCUUACCUGGGCUUGACAUGUAGAGGACCGGCAGUGAAAGCUGCCUUCUCUUCGGAGCUUCUACACAGGUGCUGCAUGGCUGUCGUCAGCUCGUGUCGUGAGAUGUUCGGUUAAGUCCGGCAACGAGCGCAACCCUCGUUCUUAUUUGCCAGCGGGCAGUUGGGGACUCUAAGGAGACAAACGGCAACCGCCGUGGGAAGGUGGGGAUGACGUCAAGUCAGUAUGGCCCUUACGCCUUGGGCUGCACACGUGCUACAAUGCCCGGUACAAUGAGAUGCAAUACAGCGAUGUGGAGCUAAUCUAUAAAACCGGGCCCAGUUCGGAUUGGAGUCUGCAACUCGACUCCAUGAAGCCGGAAUCGCUAGUAAAGGCGUAUCAGCAAUGACGCCUUGAAUACGUUCCCGAGCCUUGUACACACCGCCCGUCAAGUCAUGAAAGCCGGUUCUGCCCGAAGUGCGUGAGCUAACUUCGGAGGCAGCGCCCUAAGGCAGGGCUGGUGAUUGGGACUAAG
rnacentral:rRNA from 1 species